ACAGGAACUCCAACUACUAUUUGUAAACUGAUGACUUUCAAACUUUUUCCCCAAGAUUGACCACUUCCUGAACUUCAAGCUAGGCAUUUUUUUGGUGUCUCACCACACUUCGAAAUUAAUAUGCCCCAAACUGAAUUCCUAUCCCCACCUCUGUGUCUCACCAAACCUGCCACUUCUCAGCAUUUUCUGCCCUCCUAGAAUCUCUGACUCUGAGGGUAGCAUAGCUAUCUACAUAGUCACAUAAGUAUCAGUCCUAGAAAUAGUUCAGUGGGAAAGAAGUCCAAGGCUAUAGAAAAAAAAUUUUUUGAAGUGAUUUUUGGGGUAAAUAAUAGGGAAAUAUUGUAUUUAUAUGCAAGGUGUUAAAAAAUUAUGGAUAAGAGCAGAGAUUAUAACGUUCAAAAAUACUGAAGAAAUACAUUUUAGUUCUCACCAAAAAUCUGUUCUUGCACAUCCUUACCCCAAUAAAAAUUCUGAUGUUUGCCUUCCAGGGGCAGGGGCUGAUGGGCACUUGACCUUUGGGCUAGACAACAAGCCUCUAAGCAAGGCUUCUAUCUUCAGAGAGGAUUUUCUAAAUCCUUCCUCUUCUCUUUUAGCAUUUCAAGAACCAAGCCUGGAGGCCUCAGGUCAAAACAUUCUUCCCAAUUAUGGAAAAGAAACAAGUGAGCCCAAGGCUUUCUGUUGUAUGUUGGAAAAUGGUCAUGAGGACUACAGAAGAAAAAAGGAGUGAGAGAGAGAGAUAGGGAGCUCCAUCUUCAGUGUUCAGAGUUUAGAAUAUUCCGAGAUGGUGUUCCAAUUCAUGUGGCCAAAUUGUAUUUUCUGGGCUUUUAUGAAAAAGAAUAUAAUAUUUGGUCCAAUAUUAUGUUUGCCUUGACAUAUGAGAAACUGAGAGCAACUUGAAUGACCUAACCACAAGUUCCCCUCCCUGCUCUGCUCCUGUGGAUAAGGUCCACUAGCCAAACCACCUCCUAUCACAGUGACCAGGUACAGUUCCUGCUUAUCUCUGAGUGGUGGUCUUCAAUUCCCUAUAAGCUCCUUGAAUUACUCAAACAAACCAAUUAUUCUUCUGUGGGAAUACCCUCUUGAUAAUACACGCCCGGCUCCCAUGGGUCAUGGUGUGUGCUAUUCUCCUCCCCCAGGCUAUGAGCACAUGGGACAAGUUAACUGUUUUCCAUCUCAUCUGCCCAGUGUUGGGUGCCGUGUGUUCAGACAUCCACAUAACCCUAGGAAGGGAAUCCCUUCCUCACCAACAGGAUGAAAAGGAGGCAAUUAAAAUAGGGAUGUAUUUUAAAUAAGUCUGGAAAUUCCACAAGAAUACAGGUUUCUGCCCUCUUCCCAUUUAAGGCUUUGGAAAGUCAUCCCUGUACCAAGAAUGAACAAAGAGUAAGCAGACAGGGUCCCCAGUGAAUCAGACAUGGCUUUCUUGACGUAAGAGAUGCCAUUUUUGGCCUGAAUCAUUUUGUAACCUAAGCCUGCCUCAGUGCUUUUCCUUGAACAGGAUUUAGUAAUUAUUGAUCUUAAGGGGACAAAAUAAUGCAGGAACAAAGGACUGUUAUCUGUCAUGGGGGAUAAUAGUAGCAAAGAUGUAAUAUCAGUUGUAAAGAUUCCCAGUUUUGUUUUGGUGGUAAAGAUUAGCCUGAAAUGUCCAACCACUGAAUCAACUGGAACCUAAGAGAUGAUGAUGUUGACCCUUUCUGACCCUCACGACUUCAAUCAACUCAAGCUAGGACUCUGUUGACCUUUGCCUCAAUUCUACUCGAAAUUCUCCUCUGCUCAAGCACUUUCAUGAAUAUGCAUGUACCCUUAGUUUAAAACUCCCACAGUUUUGCUGCUGGGGAGACAGUGCUUUGGGAAAGAUCCCUGGUGUUCUCCUUGCUAUAAGGAAACUGAAGAUGAAGAACUUACAUAAUUUGUCCCCUGUCACUCAGCAAGUAAACUGCAGGGCUAGAAUCUCAGCCUAGGUUCCGACAUCAGUGGUCCUGAUCUCAAUUCUGUACUGCAUUUUUCUUCUGGGAAAAGCAGAAAACUGUUCUGUGUUGCUACAAGUAUUACCCAGCUCAGCUCCAACCAAGCACAACUGACUCCAAACUCCUGGAAAACAACUUGGGCAAACAUCUUAUUGUAGGCGACCUGCUUUUUUGGAGGACAUGCAAGUCUUUUGUAGCAACAAUGAAAACAAUUUUGACUAGUGAAGGCAGGUGAAAUGGAUGUGGCUAAAGAUUACUGAAAGAUUCAAGUUCUGUCAUAAUCAUGGUCAUGUGUCACCGGACAAAGCAAAGAAAAUACUGCAGGCUCAAGUGGGCAGCAGAAUCAUGAUGCCUCACAGAUCAGGGAUGAGUAGUCUCUCAGUCAUAAAAGCAGAGGACAGGAGCAGAAUUAAUCUUAAAGAGGGGCAUUUUGAUUUUAUAGAAAAUCACAAGAGCUCUGGGGUCUAACUGGCUAUCACUUACUAAAGUAUAAUAAGAUUAAAUAUGUGCUCUUUUUCAUCUAUAAAAUGAAGAUAAUAAAACAUCCCUGAAAAAUUGCUGUAAGGAUUAAAUCAGAUAACAUUGAUUCAACCAAUUUACUCAGCUUCCUUCACAUGGCAGGCCCUGAUCAGACCAUGUCUGGACCAUGUGGGCUAAAUCUGGGUCCAAUUGGAUUGGUCCAGAGGGGACAGUGAAAAAAAGUAACUAUGACAGAGGAGCUAUAGAUUAGAGAACUAGAAAUAUUACUCUUGUUAAAAUAAAUUGCAUAAUGAGGGUAUAAGAGCUGUCAUUUGGCUAUCUUCCAAUUUUGGAAGCUAGAUGGGAAAAUCUUUCUCUGGUCAAUAUGUGUUCAUGCUGAGAAAUAUCUUUGUAAUAAUUGGGGAUCUCCAAAUAAAGCUCUCUAAGUAGAACUGGAUAUCUAUCUAUCUAUUGUUGAUAUUGCAGAAAGAAGAUAUUGGAAAAGGUGUCCUAAAAUAUUUUUCAAGUAAGAUUAUAUACACACAAAUAAACACACACACUGCAGUGUUUACCAACACCAACAACCAAUUCUCCAGACACCUAGGUGUCCAACAAUUCAAUUCACUUCUGACAGUAACUACCCAGACUUCACACAGACCCCACAAACAAAGGCUUGGUCCUACAAGAUGGCCUCAAUUACGACAUCAGUUACAAGCCCUGGGACUCUUCCACCUCUGACCAACUGGCUAUGGACUGAUGUUUCCAUGACCCCCUCUUCAGUGGCAAAAAUUUACUAGAAUGGUUCACACAAUGUAGAAGUCACUUUACCUAUUAUUGUAAGUUUAAUAUAAAGGACAAACCUCAGGAACAGCCCAUGGAAGAGAUUCAUAGAGCAAAGUAUAGGAUAUGGAGCUUGCAGACCCUUCCUCAGCCUGGCACCUCUCAGCUCCUCCUUGUGUUCACCAACCUGGAAGCUCUCCAAACCCCAUCAUUUAGGGGUUUUUACAGAGGUUUCUUUUUGCAAACAUGAUUGAUUAUAAACUCAAUCUCUGUCCUCUCCCAUCUUCAGGGGUUGGGAAGAUGUGGCUAAAAGUUCUAGGAUUUUAAUCAAGAUUUGGUCUUUCUGGUGACUAGGCCUUAUCCUGAUUCUGUCUGUCUAGGAUCCUCUUAGGAGUUACUUCAUUAAAAUAAAAGACAUUCUUCUCUCUCAGGAAAUUCCAAGGGAUUUAGGAGCUCUGUGUCAGGAACCAAAGACCAAAUAUGAAUUUCUUUUUAUGCCGUGCAUAUACACAGAGGUUGUUAUAUACUUAUAUAUACUGUAGUUGUUAAAACAAGUCUGAACACAUGUUGAAUACUACUCGUGACUGGCAUUCACCUUAAACUAUAGAAAAUGGGAACACCAAGCUGGAUUCAUUCAUAAAGAAGAGAGAACAAGGAAAUUGUUGACAGUAUCUACACAGGCAAAUGUGGAUGACUAUAUUUUUCUAAAUGAUGCAAUAUUUAUCAUCUCAUCUCAGCUACUCUUUUUAUAAUGUAACUUUGACCCUCUUUCCAUGAAGAGGUGUGUCUGUGGUCCUUCCUUGUAAACCUAGUAGGAGUUUUAUGACAGCUUAACCAUAGAAUUAGUGAAAGUGAUACAAUGUGACUUCUGAUGUUAGGUCAUAAAAAGGUUGUAAUUUCUACCUGGCUUGCUCUUUUUGGCAUGCUUACUCUGGGGAAGCCAGCCACCACACAAGAGGCUGUUCAAACUAGCCUUUCUGGAGAAAUUACAAGAAUGAGCUAUAUGGAGAGGACUAGUCUCCCCAUUGAUAGCCAGCAUCAACAAAUUUGCAUAUAAUUCUAGCAUCUGGCCUUCAGGACUUUCAUUUGAGGCUUCAGACAUUUGGGGGUAAAGAUAAGUCAUCCUUGCUGUGCACUGUCUGAAUCCCUGAUACACAGAGUCAGUGGGUAAAAUAAAUGAGUAUUUUAUACUAGUAAGCUUAGGGGUAAUUUUUAACUUAGUUAUAUGUAUU